AAGCCCUAAAACGAAAAUGCCCAAGUAAACCCUAAAUUUCCAUUUCUAGGGUUUGAUCUCACAAAAACCUCAAAUCAAGGAUCAAAGGGAGAAAUCAAGUCUCUAACCUCUCAAGAAGCUCCAAACUUAGCUCCAAUCCAAGUGAUGUUGAAGAUCUCCGCAGCCACUAGCUCCUCUCCAAGCUUUAAGCCAUCAACAAUGGUGGAGAAGCCACCAAGAUGCAAAUAGAGGAGAGAAAACCCAAUAAAAACCAAGCAAAAGGAGUAAAAAUGCAAAGGAAGGGAGAGAGAGCUCCUCCUACCUCAACUCCUGUUGGUCUCAGCACAAAAGAAGCCCUAAGGGGCGUGGGGUGCACUUAUAGAAGUGCUACAAUAGCAAAAACACCCCUGCAGACCAAUCUGCACGAAAACUGUCUCCUUGUACCGGUACACGAGCU
rnacentral:lncRNA from 1 species